AGUAAGGAAUAUUGGUCAAUGGACGCAAGUCUGAACCAGCCAUGCCGCGUGAAGGAUGAAGGUCCUCUGGAUUGUAAACUUCUUUUAUAUGGGACGAAACCCGGGUAUUCCUACCCGAUUGACGGUACCAUAGGAAUAAGCACCGGCUAACUCCGUGCCAGCAGCCGCGGUAAUACGGAGGGUGCAAGCGUUAUCCGGAUUCACUGGGUUUAAAGGGUGCGUAGGAGGGUAGGUAAGUCAGUGGUGAAAUCUCCGGGCUCAACUCGGAAACUGCCGUUGAUACUAUCUAUCUUGAAUACCGUGGAGGUGAGCGGAAUAUGUCAUGUAGCGGUGAAAUGCUUAGAUAUGACAUAGAACACCGAUUGCGAAGGCAGCUCACUACACGAAUAUUGACUCUGAGGCACGAAAGCGUGGGGAUCAAACAGG
rnacentral:rRNA from 1 species